rnacentral:tRNA from 1 species
GCCCCCGCAGCCCGGAUCGUGGAGGUCCAUGAUGGAGGGUCAUGGAUGUGCAGGUUCGAGUCCUGCCCGGGGCA